rnacentral:rRNA from 1 species
CCUACGGGAGGCAGCAGUGGGGAAUAUUGCACAAUGGGGGAAACCCUGAUGCAGCAACGCCGCGUGGGUGAAGGAGCGUUUCGGCGCGUAAAGCCCUGUCAGCGGGGAAGAAGAAAGACGGUACCCGACCAAGAAGCCCCGGCUAACUACGUGCCAGCAGCCGCGGUAAUACGUAGGGGGCAAGCGUUAUCCGGAUUUACUGGGUGUAAAGGGGGCGCAGACGGCAAUGCAAGCCAGGAGUGAAAGCCCGGGGCCCAACCCCGGGACUGCUCUUGGAACCGCAUGGCUGGAGUACAGGAGGGGCG